AAGUCAUUUUUAGUUGGGACGUAGUCCCAACUAGUGCACUUACAAACCCGAAAUUUCCAACCAUACAGGGUAACGCCCACUGCUGUGACGUUUCAUCGCCACUCUAUAUGCUAUAUUGUAUUCUAACAUAUCAACGUAAGCUGAAUUCAUAGUGAUCACCCGACCAUGACCGACGCAUAACUGCCGCGAGUGAAAAAUAGUGCUCUGAAUUUCUGAAAACUUCGAUUUAUUGCGAACAGAAGAGGAGACAAGAAAUUUAUUUUUUGAAAAUAAUGUGCAAUUGAGCUUGAAUUACGGUAUUAGAAACGUAGCGGAUAUAAUUUGAAAGGUCACAUAAUUCUAUGAAUGGGAUAGUAAAUUAAUUGGGUCAUAGUGCUUGACGGCUUGCAAUAUUUAACUUACUCAUCCGCCUUAUCAUCACAUUUUUUUGUAUUAUAUUCCAGAAAUUUUUGAAAAAGACAUUAUUUAUCGGAUAAAUUUUGUAGUUUAUAAUUGCAAAGUGGAUAUUGAAAUAGAAUUAGCCAGAGAUGUAGAUAAUCUAUUCGUCUCUGAAUUAGCCGAUAAUUAGGUUAAAUGAAUCCAACAACUUCCGGUAUAUUUUUUGACCUACUUCACGAGCAUAAUUAUCAGCCUGUUAAGCUCAUAAGGGAAAUAAAAGAUCAUUUACUUUAAUAUUCACUUGGAAAGGCUGGUACAUGUAGCUAGAAAAAAAGUACAGUAUAAGAUUAAAGAAAGACUAGAAGAUUAUUACAAACAACAGGUGGACAUGUGUCACUGUCAAGCGAAUGAAGAUAAGCAUCACACUCGGUGGGAAUCUCAAGUUUCCAGAUGUAGUGAUCAUAACUGUAUAGGCACCAUUAACACUUUGGACUAGUUGGAGUAAUUUAGAGGGCUAGUCUGAACAUUGUGUUGAAGGAAAAUGUUAAAACUCGGAUUUCCCGCUUAACCAAUCAUUACUUUACCUUAUAUUCAGUGCGGUAAUGUAGGAAAUGGUUACUUUAUGGAACGGAGCUGUCAAUUAUUUUUAGUUUUUUAGCUUGUUAGCGUUAUCGUCGGACAGUUGUGAAGUAAAGACAUCGCAGUUUGACUGUAUACAAGUUGCCUUAAAGAAAGUAUGUCGAAAUCUUAACAGUUAUUCGUUGAUUUUGUAUAAAUUGACCAGAAUUCACCUUUGUUUACACGCAUCGCUUGGACGUCGAAAACGACAUGCAAUGACAUUUCAGUGAAAUUUGGAAACUUGCUCGUAUUUUGGAGCAUUUUGUAGGAUUUCGAUGAAGUAAAAAGUGUUUAUGAUAGGAUACAUUAUUCCUAGAGACAACCACAAAAAUAAAAUAGUGAUCUGAUGUAUUUUUACUGAACAGUUCUUGUUUGUUUUGCAUGAUAUUUUUCUCUCGUUAGGGACCUUUAUUCUUUAUAUAUAGUAUUAUGAGCGUAUAUGGGUAAAUGUGGUAUAUAGUGCCUGUGGUUUUAUCAUGUAUCUUAGCUUGCCUGGUGUAAUGAUAAGUAAUAAACCUGAGAAUUGAAACUAUGAGAAUAAAUUGUUGUUAUUA